UUAUAUGUACUGAAUUAUUACCUAAAUAAUAUUUGACGUGUUCAAUGUCAAAUUUCGUGUUAUCAUUGUAACACAUACGAAUGUAAUAGUUGUCUGGUCAGAAGAAACGAUACAAAUACAGUUCUGGAGCAAUGAGCCGGUCUCAUUAGUUUCCCAGAUUUCGAAGUGGAAGUUUGCCUCCUUUUAUUAUCCUCAACCGAAACACCUUUACUUGGACGUAUCAACUGGCGACGAGGACAACUAGGACAGCGUGCAGUCAGUGAUCAGGAUAGUAAUCAGUAGUGCAAUCCCGAGACAAAUCUCGAUCCUGUUCCGAGUGCUGUGGGAAGAAAAGAUACGUUCCGAGGAUUAUUGAGUCUGGAAGAAGACCGUGCUCAUCGUUGGCUGGAUUAAAUAUAGUUUUACGACGAUAAUCCGCUUCAAAAGUAAAUCUGAGCUGAUUGGCACGGAUAACUCUUGCUUAGUGGCAAAAAAACAAAAGGUUCCCCUAGAAGAAAAGAAUCAUCCGGAAUCGGACGAGCAGAAUACCAGGCUAACUGGUCGGUUGGGCAAAAUUAUACUCCGCUGGCUGACUGGCUAGUUGAGGGUCACUUGAGCGGUUUCUGGUGGAAAUUGGAAGCGUGCGAACAACAGCGCAUCGCACUCAAAUACGACCAGUUGUUAAUCCGCAUUCAUCUGACCGGCCUAGUGUGAUGAUUCCUUUACCAAGAACUCGUAGCAUGAGAGGCACCAGCAAUGUACCGGCACCGGUCGGUGAUGUUGAGCCUGCAGCUGAAGUUUGCCAACCAGAAACAUCAGAGAUUGCAUCAAGGAAGAGAAGACCAGAAGAAUCGCCACCCGUUAGUUUGAGACGUUCUAAGAGGACAAGAGCAUGCAAGGCCGAUCCUAAUUUUGUAUAUUUUUCAUAGAAGUAUAAGUGUUGAAAUCGUUAAAAUGAAUUAAUGUUCAUUCGAAUGUUAUUUAUUAGAAUUAAGUUCAAACUUUUAAAGGGUGAAGAAGUUGUUGUGUUCCUUAGGGGCACGUUCUGAAGUAAUUAAACCUAAAUGAAUUAUAUGUACUGAAUUAUUACCUAAAUAAUAUUUGACGUGUUCAAUGUCAAAUUUCGUGUUAUCAUUGUAACACAUACGAAUGUAAUAGUUGUCUGGUCAGAAGAAACGAUACAAAUACAGUUCUGGAGCAAUGAGCCGGUCUCAUUAGUUUCCCAGAUUUCGAAGUGGAA